GGAUUAGAUACCCUGGUAGUCCACGCCGUAAACGAUGGGUGCUAGAUAUCGGGAGAUUUUCUUUCGGUGCCGUAGCUAACGCGUUAAGCACCCCGCCUGGGGAGUACGAUCGCAAGAUUAAAACUCAAAGGAAUUGACGGGGACCCGCACAAGCGGUGGAGCAUGUGGUUUAAUUCGAUGCAACGCGAAAAACCUUACCACCUUUUGACAUCGGAAUCGCGGAGACCAGAGAUGGACUCUUUCAGCUCGGCUGGAUUCCUGACAGGUGUUGCAUGGCUGUCGUCAGCUCGUGCCG
rnacentral:rRNA from 1 species